rnacentral:rRNA from 1 species
CGAUGUCGGCUCGUCACAUCCUGGGGCUGGAGAAGGUCCCAAGGGUUCGGCUGUUCGCCGAUUAAAGUGGCACGCGAGCUGGGUUCAGAACGUCGCGAGACAGUUCGGUCCCUAUCUGUUGUGGGCGCAGGAAGUUUGAGAGGAGCUGACACUAGUACGAGAGGACCGUGUCGGACAAACCUCUGGUGUACCAGUUGUGACGCCAGUUGCAUCGCUGGGUAGCUAAGUUUGGAUGAGAUAAGUGCUGAAAGCAUCUAAGCACGAAACUCGCCUCAAGAUGAGACUUCCCUUAAGGGUCGUUAAAGACGAUGACGUAGAUAGGCUGCAGGUGUAAAGGUGGUAACAUCAAAGCCGAGCAGUACUAAUCACCCGUGAGCUUCUUAUU